rnacentral:rRNA from 1 species
AACGAACGCUGGCGGCAUGCCUAACACAUGCAAGUCGAACGAGACCUUCGGGUCUAGUGGCGCACGGGUGCGUAACGCGGGGGAACCUGCCCUUAGGUUCGGAAUAACUCCCCGAAAGGGGUGCUAAUACCGGAUAAUGUCUUCGGACCAAAGAUUUAUCGCCUUUGGAUGGGCCCGCGUUGGAUUAGCUAGUUGGUAGGGUAAAAGCCUACCAAGGCGACGAUCCAUAGCUGGUCUGAGAGGAUGAUCAGCCACACUGGGACUGAGACACGGCCCAGACUCGUACGGGAGGCAGCAGUGGGGAAUAUUGGACAAUGGGCGAAAGCCUGAUCCAGCAAUGCCGCGUGAGUGAUGAAGGGCUUAGGGUUGUAAAGCUCUUUUACCCGGGAUGAUAAUGACAGUACCGGGAGAAUAAGCACCGGCUAACUCCGUG